AAAAAUUUAGUUAAAAAAUAACGUUAGUUUGUCAAACUAAAAUUAUCUUAAAAAUAAUUUUUA
rnacentral:tRNA from 1 species